rnacentral:rRNA from 1 species
ACACAUGCAAGUCGAACGGAAGUUAGAGCUUCGGUUUUAACUUUAGUGGCGAACGGGUGAGUAACGCGUGAGGAACCUGCCUUUCAGUGGGGGACAACAGUUGGAAACGACUGCUAAUACCGCAUGAUGCUUUUGGGAGACAUCUCCCGGAAGCCAAAGCUUUAUGUGCUGAAAGAUGGCCUCGCGUCUGAUUAGCUAGUUGGUGAGGUAACGGCUCACCAAGGCGACGAUCAGUAGCCGGUCUGAGAGGAUGAACGGCCACAUUGGGACUGAGAUACGGCCCAGACUCCUACGGGAGGCAGCAGUGGGGAAUAUUGGGCAAUGGGGGAAACCCUGACCCAGCAACGCCGCGUGAAGGAAGAAGGCCUUCGGGUUGUAAACUUCUUUUACCAGGGACGAAGGACGUGACGGUACCUGGAGAAAAAGCAACGGCUAACUACGUGCCAGCAGCCGCGGUAAUACGUAGGUUGCAAGCGUUGUCCGGAUUUACUGGGUGUAAAGGGCGUGUAGGCGGAGAUGCAAGUUGGGAGUGAAAUCCAUGGGCUCAACCCAUGAACUGCUCUCAAAACUGUAUCCCUUGAGUAUCGGAGAGGCAAGCGGAAUUCCUAGUGUAGCGGUGAAAUGCGUAGAUAUUAGGAGGAACACCAGUGGCGAAGGCGGCUUGCUGGACGACAACUGACGCUGAGGCGCGAAA